rnacentral:misc_RNA from 1 species
GCAAACUUGGUCAUUUAGAGGAAGUAAAAGUCGUAACAAGGUUUCCGUAGGUGAACCUGCGGAAGGAUCAUUAUUGAGUUUUGAACGGGUUGUAGCUGGCCUCUAACGAGGUACUGUGCACGCCUGGCUCAUUCCACUCUCAACCUCUGUGCACCUUUUGUAGAAGAUGGCUAGUAAAGGAGGUCCUACGACCUCUGAAGCCUCUUCUAUGUUUUUACCACAAACGCUUCAGUUAAUGAAUGUUACUUUGCGAAUAACGCAUUUAUAUACAACUUUCAGCAACGGAUCUCUUGGCUCUCGCAUCGAUGAAGAACGCAGC